GGAAUCUUCCGCAAUGGGCGAAAGCCUGACGGAGCAAUGCCGCGUGAGUGAUGAAGGUUUUCGGAUCGUAAAGCUCUGUUGCCAGGGAAGAACGCUUGGGAGAGUAACUGCUCUCAAGGUGACGGUACCUGAGAAGAAAGCCCCGGCUAACUACGUGCCAGCAGCCGCGGUAAUACGUAGGGGGCAAGCGUUGUCCGGAAUUAUUGGGCGUAAAGCGCGCGCAGGCGGUCAUUUAAGUCUGGUGUUUAAUCCCGGGGCUCAACCCCGGAUCGCACUGGAAACUGGGUGACUUGAGUGCAGAAGAGGAGAGUGGAAUUCCACGUGUAGCGGUGAAAUGCGUAGAUAUGUGGAGGAACACCAGUGGCGAAGGCGACUCUCUGGGCUGUAACUGACGCUGAGGCGCGAAAGCGUGGGGAGCAAACAGGAUUAGAUACCCUUG
rnacentral:rRNA from 1 species